AACGAACGCUGGCGGCAUGCCUAACACAUGCAAGUCGAACGAGACCUUCGGGUCUAGUGGCGCACGGGUGCGUAACGCGUGGUAACCUGCCCUUAGGUUCGGAAUAACUCCCCGAAAGGGGUGCUCAUACCGGAUAAUGUCUUCGGACCAAAGAUUUAUCGCCUUUGGAUGGGCCCGCGUUGGAUUAGCUAGUUGGUAGGGUAAAAGCCUACCAAGGCGACGAUCCAGAGCUGGUCUGAGAGGAUGAUCAGCCACACUGGGACUGAGACACGGCCCAGACUCCUACGGGAGGCAGCAGUGGGGAAUAUUGGACAAUGGGCGAAAGCCUGAUCCAGCAAUGCCGCGGGAGUGAUGAAGGCCUUAGGGUUGUAAAGCUCUUUUACCCGGGAUGAUAAUGACAGUACCGGGAGAAUAAGCUCCGGCUAACUACGUG
rnacentral:rRNA from 1 species